rnacentral:tRNA from 1 species
CAUCAAGAAGCUUUUAUAAGCAACAACCUUUUAAGUUGGAGAAGAAAUAUUCUUUCCUUGAUGA